rnacentral:lncRNA from 1 species
AGCCAACACAGGACUUACACAGGAAGGUAAAGGGGAGAGAAAGUGGUCAUGUCAUGAAAGACAGCUAGAAGAGUACGGGAAGUACAGAGCUCUGUCAAAUGGGACCUUUGGAUGUUUGGAAAGUCCAACCACUAAAUGCUUUCCUGUUUCAUGUACUAUGGAGGGGAGUUCUCAUCUUCAUUCCUGCUCCAGAGAUAUUGACCUGCAGGAUGAGGAGACUUGGUGUGAGAACCAUAUGGAAGGGAAGAAGUAUCCCAGGCCCAAGAUACAAGUUUAUGGAUUGCAAGACAGGAGGCCAAACACCAAAACAGCAUCUAACAAAAGUGCUUUUUCUGUAGGAAGAGGCAAUACAACAUUUUGCUUCAGAAGAAUCUUAUUGGCCCUUCCUGGAUACUGGGUUGUAGGAAGAACUGAUGAAUGCUCCCUGCUGUGA